GCGGAGGGGUUCCACACGUACCCAUCCCGAACACGACCGUUAAGCCCUCCAGCGCCGAUGGUACUUGGACCGAAGGGUCCUGGGAGAGUAGGACGUUGCCAAGC
rnacentral:rRNA from 3 species